rnacentral:lncRNA from 1 species
UUGACAGGCACCAUUUCCAACUAUGAAGAAGAGAAGGAAAGGCUCUGCACACGAUAUGAACAACUGAGUAAGCAACAAAACUCCUUUACUCCUCCUUGUAGUGAAAUUGAAUGCACCAAAAUUUUCUGAUGGGUUGAUGUCAUGUCAGGAAAGAAAGAAAGGAGUCUGAUAUCUGAGCAUGAGAAAGCUUGUACUGAUAAAAUUGCUAAACGGGAAGAGUCAUUGAAAAAGAAGAAGCAGGUACCUCUCUCUCUCUCUCUCUCUUGAAAAAUAAAAAGAAGAAGCUUGUACUGAUAUCUCCAUGUAUAUGUCUCAAAACCACAUUUUCUGUUUAUAAUUCAGGAGGAUGACAGAACUUUCAGCGUUCUGAGGAAGACUCUUGGCUCAUUUCUGGAGAGCGACGAGGACAUCCUGGCUGAUGAUUGAAUGAACAUUCAGCUGUUUGAGCUCAAGUCUCCAGUUACUCUUUCCCCCUAAAAGAUGUUCCGUUUAUUAAUUCUUGCACUAUGAUAUGGUACAUGUUUCUGCCAUAGGUGUAAAGUUGAAUUUCAUAUACAGUACAACAUUAUAACAUGCUGCAUGUGC